CACCACCGGCCAGCUCCACCACUUAUCCAUUGCCGGAGUGGGUCGACGCGUCGCAACUGGCGUUGGGGAAUCCAUUCCCGGCGGCGGCGGCUUCCGGCGAGGAGGCGAGCGAGCUCUGCAAGCUCCGGCGGGGGCUUGUCUCCGACGAGGCGAGGCCAAGGAGGCAGUGCGCGGGCGCAAGGAGGCGGGGUCGAGGAGGCGCAGGAGACGCCGGCCAGUGGCACUCCGGCGGGGGCUUGGCGAGGGCGACAGCGGUCGCGAGGGCUUGGCGGCGGCCAGAGUGCUCGCUUGGGAGGAUGGAGCCGCCUCGCCGGGGCACGGGCGCGGCAGCACGACGUCGGGCCGUUGCCGAUGGCGCCGGGGCCGGGGCGGUGGUCUCACGGGCGACCAGGAGGAGGUGUUGUCCUGGAGCCAGCAACGGCGGCUGCAGCUUGACGAUGCGAGCGUCAAUAGCUUGCUUCAGGGGCUGCGGGCCGUGAGCGGCGCCGUGCUCGCGCACAAGACCCGUGCCUGAUUUGGAUCGGAUUGCAGACCGUGUUCUUGUCGAACACAAUUCAAUGGAGUGCCCAACCCAGAUUGUUGUUUUCUGCUAUAAGAAGGAAGGGUAGUCGGCCGGAAUCUCCAUGAGAUCAAUUUUUGAUUUGGACGAAACAUCCAAUGUCUUCGCCUUGUUCGCUGGAGGAAGAAACGUCGAGUUCGCUGGAGGUACAAGAACAGCCGUCGAGCACUCCAAUGUCGCCAGCGGCGGCUACACCAGAGAAUCAAGACAUGCCUCUAUAAAUGUUUUUUUAAGGCAACUAGCUACUUGGGUUGUGCAAAUCAACAAGUACUCCUACAGAUACCAUCAGAACUAAGGAGACAACUUCCAGUAGACCUGGCCAAUGGAAAUCUCAAAUCUCAUAGCAUGUAAGCUCUCGGUCAGGUAUUCUAUUCGUAACUCAGCGUAUCUUUUUUCAGAAGUUUUAUGUCUAACUCCCAAACAUCUUUUGUCAAGAGUAAGAAUGCAGCUGUUGAGAACUUGACAUAAAUGGUUGCUUGCUGCAAGAAGAGUGGUAUCAUUAUUACCAGAGAAGUAGACGUUGUUUGAAUUAUUCUUUAUUAUUCAUAUCAUGUUAAUAGCUCUCUGCUCUGUUCUUAACUGGGAAUCCUUGCUCCUUGGACCCCUAUCAAUUGUAAAGAAGGUAAUUUAUCAGAAUCUUAUGGUCUUUUAGUUUGUUCUGGGCCUCUGAGGUUCCUUAGUUUCACGUAUGAACGUGAUAUUAGUACGCUCAGUUUCAGUUUUGUGGUUUGAUUUGCUUGCUUGUGUAUAUAUGCAUGUAUACCGUGAGAGAGGGAGAGAUAAUUCUGUUCUAGCAGUCGUAUUUCUGUGACAAAUCUACUUCCCUCCACCCCAUUCUCGAUUGCCUGAAAUCAAAUGCAAAUUGGGAGCGGCAGAGCAAAUGUGAAAAAGUUCAGGGCAGGUGCAUGUUUUUUAGAUUCAGAGGACGUGUAAGCUGGGAGAUGGCUUGCAUGCUUUGUAAGUAUGAUUAAAUGGAUUAGGAACUUGUUUCUGUGUUUGCAACACAAUGCAAUUAUGACAAACUAUAUGUAAUUAAACUAACUGCAUAUAUUUUCUCGGUAUAUUGUGCAAAAUUCAUAGAUUCAUGCUUAAAUGAAGUGCAAUAUUUUCUCGGUGGAAAGAUUUGUGCACGGGGACGGAGGCGAUCAAGGGAAGCAGUCACGAGCGAGGUAUUUGAGGGCUAUGAGCGCCAGUAAUGUGAGGUCUCCGAAGCCUCCACUCUUGAUGGAGGUAUGUGCCCAUCCGGCCCCUGUGCCUAAUUCUGUCAGGGGAUUCCUCCCCCUUUUCGCUGCCAUCAUCAUCAGUAAGACGAAACUGAUAGCAGCGAAAAGGGGGAGAAAUGCACUGAAUCGAGGAGCACAUAGGUAGACCAAAAUUUGUAGACACCACCAGAAAAGCAAAGCCUACUGAACCGAUCGAUGGCGUCCUCUCCAGACAACAUUUGCAAGGUUUGUGUCACAUUUCAGAAGCAGAGAAGUGCCAUGGUCGAUUGUUGCUUGAGGAGAUACGAUUUUUGUCAAGGUUGCCUGAGGAUGUGUGUGCCUUGGAACAAGGCUCUCUUCCAUACAAUCCAAGUUCUUUCACUUACCUUAUUUGCCUCCUAGCACUUUUUUAUGUGAUGUGUGAUUUCCUCCUUUUCAAAGUUAUUAAUGAUCCAGCCUGGCCUAAAAUUGAUUAGACUUAUGGUUGCUUGGUAAUGAUUUUAGUUUGCUAGAAGUUUUUAUGCCUGAAAGAAAGAAAAAUGCAUAUAUGCUAGGAUCAGGAAUUCUUUAAGUUAUCUUAAUAUAUUUCUUUCUGGUUUGAUUUUAGUAUCGUUUUUUUCUUCAUGCAGUUAAUUUGCCGCAUAGGUGUCUUCCGUAAGAUGCUACAAGGAUCACAUAACUUCCUUAACCGAAUACAGCGCCGACGGUGGCAGGACACGCUUUCUACCUGUAGUUCUCCAACUUUGAGGAUGGUGGCCACCUAUUUCUUAACUGUAAACUGAUCAAGCAACGAUGGCGAGCACUGCUGCUUGAGGAUAUCAGACUUAGACUGCUCCAGUGUACAUCUCCCAAAGAAAUUCUGUCUAUAAUCCUUGACCUGCCAGAGGAGAGGAAGCUGUUAUCCAUCGCUUUGCUCUGGUGUUGGUGGACGGAACAGAACAGGGGCAAUCAUGGGGAGCAACGGCUGGAAGUUGAAGCUUUUCGAUACAUUGUCCGUCACCACGCUGAUGAUUGGAAAGAGUUUUUGAGCGCUAAGCCUACUGAACCGAUCGUGCGGUAGCAUAAGUGGGAUAAGCCUCCAAGCAAUAUGGUGAAAAUAAACGUCGAUGCUGCGUUUGCUGAACAAAGAGGAGUUGGAGGCUGGGGCCUAAUCUGCAGAGAUGACGCUCAAGACAUUCGUUUUGCAGCGGCUGGAGCCCAGCAUGAUCUGCAAAGCGCCCUACAAGCUGAAGCUGUUGCUCUUUCCAAGGCAGUGACUCUGGCGGAUAGGUUAGGAGUUGGGCGCGUCAUUUUUGAAACUGACUGUAUGGUCCUUAAGCAAGCAAUGAACUCAAACGACUAUGAGUUGGCGCAACUGGGUGUUUUGUUUAGUGAUAUCAGGUUCAGACUUAGGACCCAUUUCAUUGAGGCUCAUGUGGUGUAUGUGCCGAGAUAGUGUAAUGGAUCAAGGACCAGCACAUGUGCUAGCGUCCUUAGUGUUAGAAUUAAUGGGCUAGGCCCAUAGCAAUUUCUGAAAUCUCAAA